rnacentral:sRNA from 1 species
GUGAGACUGGGCGGCUUUUCACCGAGAGCUGCAGCAUCUCUCCCAAGCUCCGCUCCAUCGCUGUCUACUAUGACAACCCCCACAUGGAUCCUGGACCUUUUUGCCUAGAGGCCUGGAGUGAUGGAGAGAGAUGGGGAGGCCAUCAGUUACAGUGCAGCACAAGACCUGCUCCCUGGUGCCCCCUGAUAAGUGCCGAUGUGCCGUGGGCAGCAUCCUGAGUGAAGGUGAGGAAUCGCCCUCCCCUGAGCUUAUCGACCUCUACCAGAAAUUUGGCUUCAAGGGGUUCUCCUUCCCGGCACCCAGCCAUGUGGUGACAGCCACC